GAUGAACGCUGGCGGCGUGCCUAAUACAUGCAAGUCGAGCGAAUGGAUUAAGAGCUUGCUCUUAUGAAGUUAGCGGCGGACGGGUGAGUAACACGUGGGUAACCUGCCCAUAAGACUGGGAUAACUCCGGGAAACCGGGGCUAAUACCGGAUAACAUUUUGAACCGCAUGGUUCGAAAUUGAAAGGAGGCUUCGGCUGUCACUUAUGGAUGGACCCGCGUCGCAUUAGCUAGUUGGUGAGGUAACGGCUCACCAAGGCAACGAUGCGUAGCCGACCUGAGAGGGUGAUCGGCCACACUGGGACUGAGACACGGGCCAGACUCCUACGGGAGGCAGCAGUAGGGAAUCUUCCGCAAUGGACGAAAGUCUGACGGAGCAACGCCGCGUGAGUGAUGAAGGCUUUCGGGUCGUAAAACUCUGUUGUUAGGGAGGAACAAGUGCUAGUUGAAUAAGCUGACACCUUGACGGUACCUAACCAGAAAGCCACGGCUAACUACGUGCCAGCAGCCGCCGCCG
rnacentral:rRNA from 1 species